rnacentral:lncRNA from 1 species
UCCCAAACAAUAAAAUGUUUUACACAAAUAAACUAAAAAAAUAACCCAAAAAAAUAGAAUUAGAAUAUUUGCAAAAAAUAAUAAAAAAAGAAAAAAAAGGGAAUAAUUUCAUAGAUGCCUACUUUAGUAACGCCAUCUAAUUAUUAUAAUACCCUUCUAAAUUGAUAACAUCAACAAUACCCUCCAAAUGUUAAAAAUUAUAAUAAAUGCCCUCACAUUAUUAAAAUCCGUUAAGCCGCAUGUGAAACGAUUAGAAAUUUUUAAUAUAACCCUAACUUACUAGCCCUUAUCUCUUAUUAAUAAAAAUACUAAUAGUUAUUUUCAAAUGCAAAUUUUGUAAAUCUAAAUUUGUAGUGUUUUAAUAUAUAUACAUAUUAAAUUAAAUAUUUAAUAUAUAUUAAUUAUAUGAUUUAUUCCUAAUUAGUAAAAUAACAUACACUAUAUAACUUAUCAAUUUAUAUUCCUAAUCAUAUAGUAAUCUUUGAAAUAAAUUAAGACUUAUUAUUUUUUCCUAAUUAAGCACAAAAGUAAAUUACAUUAACUAUAUUGCCAGCAUUGUUGUGUCGAUUGCAAAUAAAAAGAAGAGUUUGUUCGACACCUAAAAUCAUAUUAUAAUUUCAAUUUUUUAAUGACAUUUAUAAUACAAAAUAAACAUUAUAAGAAUAAUUUUUAAUUAAAAAAACUUUUAAACUUUCAAGAUUAAAGAAAGAUCCUGAAUAAUUCCUUAACACUAUUUGCAUUUAAAUUUUAUAAUAAUAUAUUUUAUUUGAUCAAAAAAUAAAUAGGAGCCAUUAGAAUUUGCGCUGAAAUUAUCAAAAAACAUAUAAAAAUUCACAUUUUUCAUUACACUAAAUUAUUAAUUUUUUUAAAAACUAAAAGUUAAUGGAUAUCAACAAAAAAUGAAAAGUUGAGGUGAGCUGUUUGCAAAUAAGCCAUAAAAGUUAAGAAGGGCUCCCAAUAUAUUUUUACUUAAGAGACUAAACUUCGAGAGUAAAUAAUCAAUUUUACAAAAGAUAACCACAUCUUUAACGCCAUUAAUAACCUGUGUAAAACAACUAUAACUAACAGUUGAGGAGAUCUGAGAUCAAUUUCUAAUAAUUUAUUACAGUGGUAGUCAGGAGAUAUUCUGAGGAAAUUGUAAACUAAGGAAAAAUCUCUAGAAGAUGCAAAACGGAUAUAUUGGUAAGGCUAAUAAACUAUCAAUAUUUCCUAUUUAUGAAUAUAUGUUGGAUCAUGAAUUGUCAUUUUUAUUCAACUUUUUGUUUUGAAUGAGAUUGUGAUUGCAUAUUUAUUAACAGACUGGUCUUCGCAGUGUGAACAUAUAAUUUCUCAAAACCAAACGUCUUGGCAUCUGCUUUACCAAUACAUCCAUUACAGCGCUAAUGUGGGUCACAUCAAACUUUCAGGGACGAAACUCGCAGGAUUCAAAUCUGGAGGGGGACCCGAAAUAUAUUAAACUAGAAACUUAAGCUAAUAAUAAAAAAUCAUAUAAGUUUUAUAAAAAUUAUUCAUAGAUAAUAAUGUAAAGUAUAAGCUCGUAUUUUUUUUAAUUAUUUGAAAUGUUUAACUUCUAAAAUUAUAUUUUACUUUAUAAUUAUUAACACUUAAAAUAAGUUAGAAUUUACUAAAUUCUAACAGUAAUCUUUUAUAGUUUUUAGUAAUAAAAUUAAACAUAGCAUUAAAUUUAGCUACAUUCUUGACUCUAAGUCAUAAUAAAACUAGCUCACCUAAGAAAAAUAAAAGUUUUAAAAAAUUAUUAAAUAACAUUUUUAUAGAUGAGCAAAUAUAUACAAAGACUCUAUAAGCAACAUAACUUUUCCUAAUAUAUUUAACCCAUAAAUAUAGUCGAUACGAUUAGAAAAGAGAGAAGAGCUGUUCGGCCGCAUCCCCAUACUAUUUAAGUAAAUAUUCAAAAUAUUAGAGGCCUAAAAGCUAUCCCAUAAGAUCUACCAAAAAAAAUUCUUGAGACUAUUAAGCAAAUAUGAAAAUUUGAGGAGGUCAAAGCUAUUUAUGGUCUACCAGAAAAAUAUUUUGAAAGACCAAUUAAUAAAUAUCUCGAAAAGUUGAGGGGGGGCCAUGCCACCUUAAGGCGCUCUACAUAGCUUCGUCCUACAGUUUGAUACAACGGUUAAUUCUUUAAAUGCUAUUUUGAUGGACAUUCUGCAAGAUCCACGUGCAUAGCCUCUCGUUCUUCGUUCCAACGUGCGACAGCUCAUCACCUCACUUGUUCUAAAGCAAUGGCUUUCUGCUCUCUUGCCUAUUCUUCUAGCUAGCUGUCUCUUUCUCUCUUCAAGCUACACAUUUUUUCUCUCUUCUUCCCUCCCUCUCUGCCUAAAUUCGGCCUCUGCUUCACCUCAUCCCCUCUUCCGACCUCUCAUUUCAACUCCUCCUUUUCCCUGAGGUGCCAGCCCGCACCAGUUCGUCACCCCACCCCCCCCCGCACAUAUUACCCUCCCAUCACCAUCCGUAACCGAGCGCAUCCCACCACCAAGGCCGUUGGCGCCAAGUCCCCCGAAAACAAUCAAUCAUCGUCAUUUCCCUCUCUCCUUACUACUCCCUCUUUCCUUCAUCUCUUUCCUUUCCCUCUUUCUCUCUCUGUCCCUCUCUCUCUUCUUCAACGACCUCUUUCUCUCUCUUCCUCACUCCCCUCUCUUUCUCACUCUUUCUUUCUCUACAUUAAAAUUAUUUCACACAUUUUACCCUCUCAAAUCUCUAUAUCAAAUACUCGGAGUAGGCGAUCGCAUAAGGAGAGUGGGACGUGGCGGUUGCGAGAACGGGUAGACGUUUCACACCUCAUCCUGACAGGUCUGCACAUUGCAUUAAAAAAAAAAAAAAAAAAUAAGAAGAAGAAGAUGGGAGCUAAAACAUAAAUAAGUAUAUAUAUAUUAAUAUAUAUAUACUAUAUAUAUAUAUAAUAUAUAUAUAUAUAUAUAACUAAUGUCCGGCCCUAUCUAUAAACCCCUAAAUUAGUCGACUACAGAUUAGCGAUUGCCCUCCCGGAGUAACUCAGAAUUGUUCACUUUCCGCAAUAUCAAAUCUUUCUAAAAAUCUACUGAUCCAUCCGAAACCACGCUAAACUGUUUACUCUCAUACAGCAAUUUGAAACAUUCUACGAUCAAAUUUCAAAACUUUUUUUGACAUCAUCAUGAUACCUCUACGAAUCAAAAACUCACAAAAUUGACAAUUUUUUUUUAACACGCGGUAGUGAAUACUUGCUAAUUUAUAACGGUUCACUAAAAGAAUCCGAAAUAGUUUUGAAUUAUUUGAUAAAGAUAAAUUUCUAUUACACAACUAAAUAAACCAAUCAAUAAGACUCCGAUCUUAAAUUAGAAGAUUCCGAUCAUUCGCAUUUUACAGAUAUUCGUUUUCGAUUUUGACCGUUUCAUCACUGUUAAUGCCCGUUUUGAUGGAACUUUCUAAUUAAUCGACUUUCGAAAAAAUUACAAGAAAUUUCAUUUCUAGUAAGUUUCAAAAUACUCCCUAGAUCAAUAUUUACAUUGACGUGGAUCAUACGAUCACAAAACUCUCACGAUCCGAAAAAUCAACCUUACUCGAAAGUACCAAGUGGGCGCUAAAUACUCUCCGCAUCCCAAUAGUGUCAUUCGUACCUGCACUACCUAUAUCAUAUAUACAAUAUAUACUAUAUACCGCGAUUCCGCCGCGCCCUGCCGCCGUUGCCGCAUCCCCACGUCCAUAGCGCGCCCCGUCGCCGCUUGCGCUGCUCGCCGUCAUCACUCACAUUUACUGCUCCGCCUCCUUUUUGGGCCUACUAACCCUGCCAUCUCGCCACCUAAGCCCGCUUGUCACCGUCACCGCUGCUGCAUCCCCGCCAUUUCGCUGGCCGCUAAGCCCAAGCAGAACUGCUGCCGGAGCCGCUCGACCCGCUGCCGCCGUAUGUCCAUCCGUCAAUCACCAAUGCUCAGUGUUGCCAGCUGGUCCCCCAGAUGCCUCCACCACUGUCUAACAGUAAGGACUCGAGAUUUUUACAGGCAAUAAACUCUCUAUGAUAAGUUAAUGUGUGUAAUUUAAUUACAUAAGCACUCGCAAUGCAAUUUCAAAGGAGAAAAAUGACUAAAAUGAGAAGUUACGCGAGUUAAUAGUUUUCAGCUUAAGUGAAAUAGUAACUCGUUUUCCGAGAAGCCACGAGACUAGAGUUGGCUUUCGCCGUAUCGACUCCAUUCAUAAGCGAUCACAAUAGCUCGUUUUGACGUUCAGCUAUUAUUUUUUCUAACCAAUCGUCGCGACGGAUUUCCAGAUUUGAUGCAGUUUUCGAGAAAAAAGGAUUUUACCGAAGAGGGUUUCGCUCUUUGCUUUUCUUGUGUCAUUUUAAAACUUCUCUCGUGCUCUGCUUACCUGGGCGUUAGGUGAGCACGUUGUUUCUGUACCGUGUAUUGUGUAGGGAAUUCAAAUUGAAUUUGAAUUAAAGAUUUAGGGUUUAUGCUUUGUAUAUGUGCGAUAACGCGAUUAUAUUAGAGAGCGGAUGGGUCCGUCGCGAAUGCCGUGACCAAAUCGGAUCCGAAAUCAAUUCAUUGUAGUUUUGAUGCCCCCCGACGUCUGAACGCAAUUGGUGCUCUGGAAUCGAAAAUCCGACGGACGACCCCGGGAAUGUAUUGAGAUUUUCUGCUGAGGGUCAAAGUCAUAACCGGAUAAAUCGCUGAAGAGACCCUAUAAUUAUGUGCGAUUGCGUGAAUCGGACAUGAUGCGAUCGUUAAAAUAUCGCAUGCUUGAGGGACCUUGAUUGAGAAUAUUAUCCGCUGAGGACACUAUCUUGCAAAUGCUCAUAUGUAAAAAUAGUUCACUAGGCCCGUUCUCGUGAGAAAACCUAGCUUUUGGCCUUUCUCCUCAGCCGAACUCGAGCCCUAUCCCCCCACCUUCCCUGACAACUCGUGCGAUUACGGCCCCGCGCCGCGUAGCUGCUCCGGCCGCCGGAAAAGCCACCUCGACCUCCUCUCUUGCUCUCUCGGCCACCCUCUCCUCCGACUUGGCCAAAGUUGCGAAGGAAGCUUCUUUCAUCCCUUGGAGCAUCAUCCUCUGGCCGAGGCCCAUCUCUGGCGUCUUCCCCCGCCGGCCCCGGCCACCCCCGAGCGCCGCCGGAUCCACCCCUGCUCCCUGCGGCCAACUCGGGUCAACCCAGACCGAGCCAGCUCGAACUCUGCGUCCACGCCUUACUUCGGCCGUGCCGCCCUCCAGUCGGCCCCGGCGACCUCCGGCAACCCGGCGCGCGCGUCCCCCGCCGUCCCCGCGCGCCGCCGGCCGCCGCUGGAACCUCCUGUGGCCGCCCAGACACGUGCGGGCCGAGGUCGGGCCCGCUCGGCUUCCAAGCGCCGCCGCCGCCCACCGUGGGGUGCAUCGCCUUCCCCUCGGCCUCCGGCGCCGCACCGUAGCCACCCCGACCUCCUCCGGCCGCCGCCGCGCCGCCGGGAAGCUCGAACCCGAGAGGGAGUUGGGGGAGUGGAUCUCAGCCGCCCCGCCACCGGUUGCCGCCCGCCGCCGGCCAGCACCCUCCCCGGACCUCUCGGACCGACUGCUCCCUCCUCCGGCCGGACCGCCCGCCUCCCGGCCGCCGGCGGCCAACCCUAGCUCCCUGCACUCCGGUAUGCUAUUGUUGUAUGUUCCAGCACUGUAGUUUAGGGUUCCGGUCACCUUUCUGGUGGUCCGAGGACACUCCGAUAAUCCGGGAGGUGAGCACGAUGAUCCUUACCUCGUGCUGAACAUCAUGCUCACCUCCGACAGCGGCAAAGAUGCCCUGGUUAGUGAGUUAGUCGCGAACUUCGCGCUGUGCGCGCAGUUUAACAGAGCUUCGCGUCGCUCGUGCGCGCACCGCAGUGGCCGGCAGUGCUCCGAAAGGUGAGCACGGCCUCCGACAUGCUGAAACCUGUCAGCGAGUGCGACGGUCGGAUUAAUCGACCUCUGGUUUGCGUGCACGGUCCAGAAAAGCCUAGAAAUCACAUGAAAUGAUGCGAUUUCUUGUAUCGGUAUGGGCUUUUAGGAUUUCUGCUUCGUUGUAGAUGCUGUUGGCAGCAUGUUUGGGCUGAGGAUGAUCUCUGGACUGAUUGUCCAAGGUCCCGGACCUUUGCGAAGAUCGAAAAUGUAUUUUCGAUGCGUUUGUCGGCAAAAUCCGCCGACAGAACGCGGUUCUGGUUCGGAAUUAUUCCGACGGUGCUUCGUGAGCUAUUGUGUAGUCGCUGAGCCUUGUUGGCUGGUCACUCGCGUCAUUUCGAGAGUUCAGAAAUGACGAGUGAGCGACGGUGGGUUCCGGUGUCGAAAUUGACACUUCUAGGAACCCGGAUCCCAACAAUUAUCCACCAAUAGUUGUUUGGUUGUGUAUCCUUGUGUUUGCUGCCAUGUCACACUAAAAUAAGUGUUUAGAGGUAGCGAAUGACUCGUGGCAUGAGUCGGUGCCUUUCGGGAUAGUUAGUGGGUCCCGGCGGAGUCCCGGUGCAAUUUUCGGGACUUCCGACGAGUUACGGUAAUCGGUAUUGGGAAAUCGAUCUCCGUGGGAUUGUUUGUGGGGUUAUACUUUUAGGGUUUCUUAGUUAUGGGUUAGACACUAACCCAGUGGACCCUCCUUAGGUCCGGUUGACGUUCUUUUGCAGUCAGGAGACAGGCGCGACAGUUGUACAGGUGGGUACUUCGAUCCGACGUCGGUACAGUGGUGCACGCUCGGUGAUGGUUUCUUACCUUUGCUCUUUCAUUAUUAUCUAGCAUAUAUAUAUAUCUUGAUAUAUAGUGUUGAGCCUAGCACAUUGUGUUUCGUUUACAAUUAUUUCGGUUUUUCUUAGUAUAUCAUGGUAGGAGUUUAGAGUAGUGUAUACCAUUAUUUCUUUGUUUGCUUCUACUUAGCUAUUAUACAAUUUACUGUUUUUCAUAUAUUUUAAGUAGAGCGAUUUCCCUGUGAUUAUCUAUUGGAAUUAGCGUUUUGUCGGUCGAUUUGAGAUAUUCAGUAUUUGUGACCUAUCGUGAGUUCUCGACCUUGUUGUUGAGUGACCGUUUGAGGUCGGUUACCUGAGGGUGGGAUUGUUCGGAGUUAGUUGCGACGGGAUGAUUAUAACUUUACUCAUUCCUUACUCGUGACAUUUAUUGGGUUCGAGUUAAUAUCCGUAUACUUGUGAGUGAUUGGUGAUUUUAUGUCUAUACUUGUGACGUGAUUGGUCGCGUUUCAUAUUAUAUUGUGAUAUGAUUUGGUGAGUUUCAUAUAAUAUAGUUGUACGUGAUUGGUCGAGUUUCUAUCUAGUUUCUGGAGUAGUCAUCCUUGUGCGUUCAGUUGUGUGUGUGUUCAUAUUUUGAGAGGAUGUUUGAUUAUUGGUCCAUCAUUUGAUGAGUGGUCGGUUCUUGUUGCUUCAUUUACACGUUGAGACUAUGGCGGUCGAUGUGGGCCUGAGUAGGCAUGAUUGUCGGCUGCGUGCGACGGUUUGAUAUUGUAUUGAUCGCCCGAUACUCGUCGCAUUUCACGAACACUGGCGGUCUGAUCUACCGCAAGGAGUGUUCUUUUCCGAAAAAGUGGUUGAAUGGUGACAACCCGUGAGCCCUAGAGGGGUUAUAUGCACUAGAGAGUAGUAGUGGCACUGGCUUGAGGUCUGCGGUGCUGACCAAGAGAGCAUUGGUUUCAGAUUGGGUACUUUUGGACUUCUUGACCGGUUGACGCAUAUGUCUAUAGUAGCAGUCAUUGCAUGCAUACUUACAGUUCUUACUUUAUAGUUGUCUUGCUGCUAUAGUAGAUAUUCAUGUAUGCUUUCGGUUCCAGUUACAGUAGCGGUAGCCGUUAUUCAGUCUAGUUCUUACUUUCUUUCAGUUUGUUGCUACUGUAUUUAGUAUAUCUGCUCAUUACCUUAUACAUCUCUUUUGUUUACUAUUGUUCCUAUUGUAUUUCCACUGACCCGUGUUGUUGUAUAGCUCUUCCUGAUCCGGUGAGUACUCCUCGCCUUCUUCGGCUUGCGGUACCCACUGGGAGGGGAGACAUGUUUACAUGUUCUCACCUCCCCCACCAUUUUUCAGGUAUCGCGGGCGGUGAGGGUUGAGACGAGACGUGAGAUACGUAGCGGUCGAUAGAGCUUCCGAUCCAGGUUAUUUCGGUUUAGUUAUUACCCCUAUUAUUUCAGUUGUUAUAGCUUAGAUAGUUUAUAUGGUUCAGUAUUUUUUUUUAAUUACAUUUGAAAAUAUGGGUUUUCAUGAAUAUAAUAAACUGGUUUGUGAAUUUUGUAAAAUAAAAGGUUUUCUACCCCUCGUGGUAGCGUUUUAAAGAAAGAUAAAAGUUCCUGUGGAGGAACAGUUUUCAAAAGGUUUUCUAUGGAUUUUGCAUCUUAGUAUUUCAAAAGUUAUUUCUGUGGUUGGAAACAUUUUAACUGAUAGAUGUGGAUUUAUGUUUAAAUAUUGAAUGCAAAAAUGUGAACCUGUGGUGAAUGGUGUAUGAAUAUAUAACUGUGGUUAUUUGUAUGUUCAUCUGGUUGUGGUUGUAUCAUGUUUGAACUCUUGUACUUGUGUGACGCCGUGCAAAUACAGGGGAGACUCUGUCCGUGUGAACAGUGGAUCUCCUGUAUUUGUGGCGGAUCUUGCAUACCCUGGGGUCAGGUUUUUUUAAAAAAAAUUUCAGACGCUUUUCCGCUAUGCUUUAAACUAAAAAGGGACCCCGGGGCGUGACAGAUUAAAGUUGUAUCAGAGCCAAGUUACAACCACAACACCAUUCACAGGUUGUUUUGAAAAGUAAAUGAACUGAACCAAAUGAACUGAACCAUUGGUUAGGUUGACCCAUAGGAAGACCUACGGUAUAUAGGCACGUGAGUGCGGGGUUUGGACUUGUGUCCUGCGUUGCAUUCGAGUUGGUUAAACUCGAAGUGCAUGGUGUUUCUGUAUGUGUUACGGUUCGCACAAGCUGGUGUCUAAGUCGGGAGUAGUGGCGGUGUACUUUUUCGGACAUCGAGUGGUGGGACGACAUUCCCCAGGUGUUGCCACUCCUGUCAGGUGAGGCCUUGAAGGGCCAAGUGAGAUUUUCGGGCAUAGGCAAGUAUCUUAACUGCUGACGCCCAAGCCACUCUCUCUACUUAAGACACGAGAGCUGUUGCAAGUGUCUCUACGGAGACGGCGCUGUGAUCAGUUACGAUCGUGACUUCUGUGGGGCUACUAGGGUGUAGCCCAGGGUUUGGAUAGCGGUCGUUUCGGCGACUGCAUUGUUAGUGUUGCUUCCGCGAAUCUUUGGGUGGNNNNNNNNNNNNNNNNNNNNNNNNNGGAACCCUAACUACAGUGUGAUACAUACACAAUAGCAAAGCUCGGAGUGCCAGGGACCAGGGUUGGCACGCCGGCCCAGGAGGGCGUGCAGUUCCGACGAUCAGGACGUGGACAUAAGCCAAGUCCGGGAGGGUCGCGCCGCCCGGCUGCAACCGUGGCAUCGGGCGCCUAGAUCCACUUCCCCCAACUCCCUCCUUCGUUCGACUUCCCCCGCGGCGCGGCCGGCGGCCGGAGGAAGCGGGGUGGCUACUGUGUCGGCGCCGGAGGCCAGGGGAAGGCGAAUGCACCCCUACGGUGGCGGCUACAGGACGCUUGCGAAGCGAGCCGGCCCGAUCGGGGCACACUGCUGCGCCACAGGAGGAUUCCAGCGGUGCCGCGGCGGCGCGGUACGGUCGUGUGACGCAGCUGCGCGGCUUGCCUGAGUCGACCGCGCCGACUGGCAGGCGGACAGAGCCGAAGUAAGCGGACUGCAGAGUUCAGCUGCUCAGCCUGGUUAUCGCAAGUUGGCGAGGAGCAGAGGUGUAUCCGGCGGUCAGCUGCCGAGGUGGUCGGCCUGGGCGCGGGGGAAGGACGCCGAAGAGGGCCUCCUGGCCAGAGAUAAUGCUCCAAAGUGAAAAACUUCUUCGCAGACUUCCGGCGAAGUCGGAGGAGAGGUGGCCGAGGAAAAGAGAAGAGUCGGUGGCUUUUCCGUCGGCCAGGCAUCCGCCGCGGUAUAUGCUCCCGGCGUGCGCGACUUGGUUGGGCCAGGAGAAGUGGGGCGGCUAGGCUCGGUUGCUGAGAGAAAGGCCUAAAACUAGGGUUCUCAGAAACCCAGUGCAACUACUAUUUACAUAAGCACAUUUGCAAGAUAUCUCCGGGGAUAAUAUUCUCACACGCCAAUUCCCUCACAACAUGCGUAUUUUAACAUACCACACUCCAUGCGAUCGCACGCAAUUCGACACAUUAAAAUAAGAGUCUCUUCGCAGAUUUUAACUAUCCGUUUUGCCCACUACUUAGACCCCUCACGAAAAUCUCGUAAUUCCCGGAGAGCGUCCCGUACGGAUUUCGAUCCGACACCACCAUUGCGUUCAGCAGUCGGUGGGCAUCAAAACUAAAUGUUUGAUUUCGUCCGAAUUUGGUCACGGAUUCCGACGCGAACCCAUUCCGCUCUCUAUAUAAUCCGUAAUCGCACAUAUACCGAAAGCAAUAAACCUAAAAUCUUAAUUCAAUAUUCAAUUUGAAUUCCCUAUCCACCCAGUAGUAACUAGAACACAACUCUCACUAAACCCAGUCACAAAGCCAACGAUGUGAGAUUUAAAAUCACAGAAAAGCAAAGAGUCGAAACCCUCUUUUCGAUAAACUCCUUCUUUUCAAAAUUUCUUGGCACAAAUCUGAAAUUCCGUCAAUGACUUGUUCCAGAAUAUGCUGAAUCAUCAAAAAGCGACUAUUGAUCGCUAAGAACGGAGUCCGAUACCCGCCGAAAGCCACCUUUACUGCCCGGGCUUCUUCUCGAAAACCGAGUUACUAUCACUUAAGUGAAAACAAUAACGGCGAAACUUCUCUCACAUUUAGCUUAUUUAUUUCUUCCCUGAAACUUGACGAGUGCUAGUAAUAAAAUUACAAACAUCUAAUACGAGGGCGAAACAUCAUCAGAACGAGAGUAUUUGCACUGAAAAAAUCUCAUCCUUAACAUUAUCCCCGCCCCUCCCUAAAAUAAUUUCUUCCCUCAAGAAACUGACACAUAGCCUCACCGAAAUGAAUUCGAUAUACUUCACCAACUUGGUAUCAACCCCCUUGAGUAUUGUCAAAUUACAUUGUUUAAUGAAUUUUGCACAAUCAAUCUCCGUGACAGUGGGAAAAAAUAGGACUCGGCGAUCCACACUUAAAAUCGAUGGGAAAACGUACGCAGCCCCAAAUCUACGACCAAAAACUCACUCAGGAUUAACAAUCAUCUAUAAACCUGCGGUACAAAUAGUCCCGAGACAAGAUAUCGAACCCAAAUGCCAAUUCUAGAUAAUUAACAACAUUCAGAAAUUUAGUCCAUCUACCUGGUCCGCAUAGCCGUAAACCGACAUCGACUACGUCGCAAGUUCACAGUAGAAAAGUCACGAAACAACACUUUAAACUAGAGUACAUUUACGUAGUGACGUGAAACGAAAACUCCGACUAUCACACACAACUCAACUUCUCAACCACUCUACAGCGAAUAAGAAACGUUGUUCUAAUAGACCUGAGUCAAAAUCUCACUUGGAGACCACAGUCCCCUACCAAUAACUACACCAAUUGCCAAAUACCUCCAUCAACAAAAUCACUCAUGCGAUAUCUAUAUCAGUCCAAGACCUCACUUCACCUGAUCAAAAGAUCCAAUCUGACAAUACCAAAUCGAGCUUCGACAAUUUGUCUCCUCAACUUAAUCCUACCAACAGAUACCAAAGCUCUUCGCAUAACACCAUCAGUCUUGAUGCACAGGUCGCUUAAUCGCAACUGCCGAUACUAACCUCGGUGAUGCUCCAGUGCACUAGCCUCCCACAAGACCCUGCGCUGGUCGUCCAAACCAUGACUCCUACGAUCGAUGUUCCCAGCAACACCCUAUUACUUGUCUUAUGAACCCAAGGGCACACUGUCAAGCCAAUGACCGGACAAAGCAUGCUAACGCAAGUUUGCACCGCUCACCAAGUCGCAAACCUUAACGCUACAACAUACGUACAAUCAAAGUACUCAACCACCAGAAUCAAUCAGCUCAAAUCACUGAUUUCAACCUACGAAACAAACGCUGGACUACUACCCUAAAAAACUCUUGGGGGGGGGAGCUGUGGAAACACAACAAUAGGGAGAGAGCGAUCAACAUAGACCAUACCAAAGUAAAAACCCAUCAAAUGACAUAAUCAACUGCGGCAAAACCGCCAGGAAUAAUCCAAGGCCGCACAUGUCAAAAGAUGUCAUACUUAGCUUCUCCUAAGACAAGCUAAGCAAACUAAACCUCAAUCCAAAAAUUCCACACGUAAAUUGGUAUUUCAUCCUAACUUUUGAACAUACAUUGUCUGGCAGCCAAUCUACUAUAUCAAAAGAAAAGCUAAAUAUCGAAGAUUCACUACCAACAACGAUUGGAAGCGCGAACAUCACGAAGUAUCAAGCACUUGAUACCUUCAUACACUGAACCCGAUUCACAACCAAUACAUCGAAACAUCGACUUUUACAAGUCGAUCAUCAAAAUCAGAACAACCAAACCGACUCACCAGGAGUCCAUAACUUUCAACUAUCCGAAAACUACUAGUGACACAAAGCCCUAACUAUACCACAACAUGAGGCGAUAGAAAUGUUCUGUAACAAUUUUCGCACCUUCAACGCGACUAUAAUCAAAAUUCCUUCUUCCUCUGCCAAGCUCCAAAAUUUUCGCGACAAUAAUCUGGAUCCUCUCGAAUCAAGACGGAUCUACUAAACCACUACUAUCCGCCUGACCCAAAUUUAGUGUUUAGAGACAAAUGCAUACGAUGCUAUGCAUCAACAGGGACCUGACACUAAAACUGUGUCAAUAUCGUCCUGGUAAGAAAUGAACAGGAAAAGUCGAUAAAGAUUCGAACCAGCGAUUCAAUCAAGCAUCAGAGAUAAGUAGCAACACAUUUUAAUGUUUUUGGAUGGAUGCAAUUGAUUUUAAUAUAUUGCAACUUAAUUGGAUAAAAAUUCAAAAUUUAAUUCAUUGUGAUAAUAUAAAUUAAAAUAAGGCCAAUUUGCAUGAAAAAUUCAUUAAUUUUGGGCUUUUGCAAAAUCGGACCACGUUUUUCGCUAUUGCAGAUUCGGUCCGUUUUUUCAGCCGCCUGACCAAAAUACUCUUUUACCUUUCUCUCUCCUCUUUCUCUCUCCUCUUUUCUUUUUCGUUCAUUUUUUUUCUCUCGGCAGCGGAGGCGGAGGUGGAGGCAGAGGCGGAGGCGGAGGCGGAAAUGGCCCGCCUCGCCUCUCACCCUCAUGCUCUCGCCCUCGCCCUUGCCCUCGCCCGUGCACCCCCCACCUUCCUCGCCUUCGACAUCGCCGAGGCCGCGCUGCGACUCUUGUUUUUUUUCUUCCUCUCCAACUCUCCUUCCCUGCCUCCGACGACGACGCCUCUCUCGCCCUUCCCUGCCCUUCUCGUUCUCUCCCUCUCCCUCUCCCUCUUCCUCUACCGCCUCCGACGGCGACGCAUCUUCGACGACGCCGACGCCGACGCCGACGCCGACGCCGACGCCGACGCUGACACCGUGGAGGUUGCUGCGGCACUGCAACCUAGGAGCGGUUUGUUCUUAGCAGCGUCGUCGUCGACGCCGUUGCCGUUGGCAGAGAGCGGUGACCAAAAAAAAUUAUAGAAGAAGUAAAAAAAUCAAUAAUAAAAAUUUAUAGAAAAAGAAAGAUGAAGGUGAAAUUGCACCGUUAAAAGAACGUUGUACUAUUAUGGACAUAAGUUGCACUACUUAAGAUAUAAACGGCAGUUUUAAGAUAAAAAUUACAUUCUUUAAACAAAAAUUACACUCUUUGGUAGAUAUUUACACUGUUUCUCUUCUUAUUGCACUCUUUCAGAUAUAAACUGCAUCCAUUAAGAUAAAAGUUACACUUUUUAAACGAAAGUUGCACUCUUUGAGAGAUAUUUACACUAUUUUUUCUUUUCUUGCACUCUUUGAGAUGUAAACUACACUCAUUUAAGAGAUAUUUAUACUGUUUCUCCUCUUGUUGCACUAUUUUUUCUCUUGUUGCACUAUUUCUUCUCUUAUUAGACUGUUUCUCCUCUUAAAGGAUGCAGUUUAAGAUAAAAAUAGUAUAACAAGAGGAGAAACAGUGCAACAAGAGGAGAAACAGUGUAAAUAUCUCUUACAUGGGUGCAGUUUACAUCUCAAAGAGUGCAACAAGACGAGAAACAGUGUAAAUAUCUCUUAAAGAGUGCAACUUUCAUCUUAAUGGAUGCAAUUUACAUCUGAAAGAGUGCAAUAAGAGGAGAAACAGUGUAAAUAUCUCCCAAAGAGUGUAAAUAUCUUUCAAAGAGUACAAUUUUCGUUUAAAGAGUAUAAUUUUUAUCUUAAAGGGUGCAGUUUAUAUCUUAAGUAGUGCAACUUAUAUCCAUAAUAGUGCAACGUUCUUUUAAAACAAUGCAAUUUUAUUCUAACGGUGUAAUUUCAUCUUCAUCUUUCUUUUUCUAUAAUUUGUUGUUUUUUAUUUUUUUCUUCUUCCUUCUUUUACAAUUUCUUUUGGUCACCCCUCUCUGCCAACAGGCACGGCGCCGGCGACGACGCCGCUAAGGACCCCCCGCUCCGAGGCUGUGGCACCGUAGCGACCUCCGCGGCGUUGGCGUCGGUGUCGGCAAAGAUGCGUCGUUGUCGGAGGCGACGGAGGAGGAGGGAAAGGGAGAGGACGAGAAGGGCGGGGAAGGGCGAGAGAGGCGUCGUCGUCGGAGACGGUGGAGGAGGGUCGGAGAGGGAAAAAAAUGAGUCACGGCGCGGCCUCGGCGGAGUUGGAGAUGAGGAAGGCGGGGGGUGCGCGGGUGAAGGCAUGAGGGUGAGAGGCGAGGCAGGCUAUUCCGCCUCCGCCUCCGCCUCUGCCUCCGUUGCCUUUUUCGGCAAGAGAAAAAAAAAUGGAGAGAAAAAAAAGGAAAGAGAAAGAGGAGAGAGAAAAAAUAAUAAGAGUAUUUUGGUCAGUUUGUUAAAAAUUCGGACCGAAUCUACAAAAUCAAAAAAGACGGUUCAGUUUUGCAAAAUCUCAAAUUUUGUAAAUUUUUUAUGCAAAUUGGCCCAUUUUAAUUGACCAUUUUAACAUAAGCGGUGAAAAUUUGAUAGUUGAUAUUUAAUGUUCCAGGUUUGAAGUCCGGUUGCUAUGCAUUCCUAUCUAAAUGAAGCAAAUAGCAUAUUAUCUCCCCCUCAAAAAAAUAAUAUAUUUUUAGUAAAAAAUAUCUUUUUUAUAAUAUUAAAAGUUCUAAAAGAAUCUAAAUUCUUAUAUACAUGGCAUAAAAUUUAUAUUAUAUUUUUUGGUGCAUAAAGAGCAUUUUUCAUAAAAGGUACGGGCUGCUAGUAGUUGCUAUUUAAAAAUAGAAAAUAAAAAUAAUACUAUGUUUUUUUUAUUACAGCAGAUGACAUCUUACUAAUUCAAAUUAUUUGCUUAAAAAUUACUAUGUCUACACACUAUUAUAGCAUAUGAAUCUUACACUCCAUAAUUCUAAAAUUUAAAAAAUUAUUUUAAAUUUUUAGUAUUAAUAAUUAAAAAUAUAUAAGUAAAUAUUAGUCUCCACAAAAUAUAAUAUAAAAUUUAUACUAGUGCAGAAACCCGCGCGAUGCGGCGGGUAGAUAAUAAAAUCCCAAAUUUAAAAUUUUAAAAAACAAAAUUAUAUUUAGAAUCCUAAAUACUAAUUUUUCUAAAUUAUAAAAUUUGGAAUGAAAGUUAUAUGGCUCCAAAAUAUUACUAUUCGUCAAUAAAUUGUGUCUAGAAACUUUAGAAUUUUACCAAAUUCUAAAAUUCAUACUAUAAACUUCAUGCUAUAAAGUUCAAAAUAAAAAAAAGUCUCUUACACAUAUCCUUCAAAUAUCCUUUAAAUAUUAUAGAAAUUAGAUUUUAUGAUAGUUUUCAUGAAAAAAUCUUCACUUCUCUUCUUCAUCGGAAUCAAAAGACUGAAUUAAACUGCAAAUAAGAGUACGUACAUUCAAGUUAUUUAAGGCAAUAUUUUAAAACUUCUUAUGAACAUGACUUUGAAAAGUGUGUAUAGAAAAUAAUGUUAGUAAUUAAAUUUUUCCAGAUGAAACAAUUAAAAUUACUAUCUACUUUGCUUUAAAAAAAAAUUUCUAUAUUACCUGAACAUUCUUUUUUUUCCUCUUGAUUUUCUCGCAGUUUCCUCCAACUUGUUAUUUGAGCUUCUCAUUUUGAUAAUUUCAAAGUUGUACAUACAAAAUAAUUAAAAUAAAUAAACAAAUUAAACUUGACAAAGAUGGAUUAAUUAGAUGUCUUGUGGAGGAAAAGUGAAGGUUCGUAAUAAAUUAAAUAGAAAUAAAAUGGUGAGAAUUAUAAAUGACAGGGGGAACAUUUAAAUAUAUUAAUUGGAAGUUUAGUAGUGGGCCAUUUUAGAUGUAUUAAUUUGAUACAUUAAUUAAAAAUUUAAUGAAGAAUUUAAAUACAUUAAUUGAAAGUUUAGUAGUAGACCAUUUCAGAUGUAUUAAUUAGAUACGUUAAUUAAAAAUUUGAUGAAAAGAAGGGAAAGAAUCACAUGGUGGUGAAGGUGAAGAAAAAUAAAUAUCCUUCAAUUAUUAUAGAAAUUAGAUUUUAUGAUAGUUUUCAUGAAAAAAUCUUCACUUCUCUUCUUCAUCGGAAUCAAAAGACUGGAUUAAACUGCAAAUAAGAGUACGUACAUUCAAGUUAUUUAAGACAAUAUUUUAAAACUUCUUAUGAACAUAAUUUUGAAAAGUGUGUAUAGAAAAUAAUGUUAGCAAUUACAUUUUUUCUGAUGAAACAAUUAAAAUCACUAUCUACUUUGCUUUAAAAAAAAAAGUUCUAUAUUACCUGAGCAUUCUUUUUUUUCUUCUUGAUUUUCUCGCAGUUUCCUCCAACUUGUUAUUUGAGCUUCUCAUUUUGAUAAUUUCAAAAUUGUACAUACAAAAUAAUUAAAAUAAAUAAACAAAUUAAACUUGACGAAGAUGGAUUAAUUAGAAGUCUUGUGGAGGAAAAGUGAAGGAUCGUAAUAAAUUAAUUAGAAAUAAAAUGGUGAGAAUUAUAAAUGACAGGGGGAACAUUUAAAUACAUUAAUUGAAAGUUUAGUAGUGGGCUAUUUUAGAUGUAUUAAUUAGAUAUGUUAAUUAAAAAUUUAAUGGAGAAUUUAAAUACAUUAAUGGGAAGUUUAGUAGUAGACCAUUUUAGAUGUAUUAAUUAGAUAUGUUAAUUAAAAAUUUAAUGAAGAGAAGGGGAAGAAUCACAUGAUGGUGAAGGUGAAGAAAAACUUGACAGGGAACCAUUUAAAUUCAUUAAUUAGAUACGUUAAUUAAAAAAUUAAUGGAGAAUUUAAAUACGUUAAUUGGAAGUUUAGUAGUAGGCCAUUUUAGAUGUAUUAAUUAGAUAUGUUAAUUAAAAAUUUGAUGAAGGGAAAGAAUCACAUGGUAGUAAAGGUGAGGAAAACUUGCCAUGUGGUAAAACAUAUUGAGGAUUCAUAUAAUUUAAUAGAUUUGUUAAAUGCAUACACAGCAUUAUUCUGGUUCAUUAUGGUAAUGGAAUCUGGGAACUUCCGGUAGUUUUCUAAUUUUGAUUCUCUUUUUGUGAUUCUACUCUAUGUGAUUGGACAUCUAUGGCAAUGGUUUGAAUUUUCCCUAUAUAUAUUCAUUAGAAAGAAAUGUCAGUCAACAUCAAAAUUAAGAAUAGAAGGUGAUGUGUUUGUAGUUGCUACAUCAUGUACAAAAAGUCCAACCAGAUAAACUAUGGACUGCACAUUUUGUUUCUACUGGCAUAGCAAGCACGCAAUCUUGACAAGAUCAAGAUAUUUGAAGCUGACUUUGGUAAGACAAUUCGGCUCGCUAAACUCAGAAGAAGAGGACUCGCUGCAGCGCAGCCUUAUAGACUUGUAGUCCUUGAUGGCGUUGAGACAACUAACAAGGCCGUGCUAGAGCAAGUGACAAAGGGUUUGGUGCCGUUGUACUCUAAAAAUUUAAGCUGUUAGAGAACGGUGUUUAAAUAUUUUUAUAUUUAACACUCCCACUCACGUCUGGACUCGAGACUUUUUAGUCGGCCCAUGACGUCGGCUUGAAUCAAAUGAGAGAAAAUUAAUUUGUUAGAAGCCUGGCGUGACUCGAACUCAGGACCUCCUUCUUUGAUACCAUGUGAAACAACCGUUGUACUCUAAAAGCUUAAGCUGUUAGAGAACGGUGUUUAAUCAUUUUUAUGUUUAACAUGGUUGGUAUCCGAGAUCCAAGUUCGAAUCCUAGUUGAUUCACAUAUCUAGCUAAGUUUAUUUCUAAAUGAAAUAAACGAAGUGGGCAGCAUGCUACCUAUCUCUUAAAAAAAAAAAAAAAACAAGGCCGCGCUUCUUCCCGCUUAUUACUGUUUCGAAAAAUAUUAAUUAACCCUGCUUUUUGUUUGGUAAUGCAAAAACUAUGGCUAGAGUUAGAACGCAGAAGCUCCUUAGAUGGAGCUUUUUAGUUGGGAACAAAUUGCCUAACUAAUUGAAAUAUACUCUUUCUGGCCAUCCAUAUCACAGGAUGAAACAUAGCUAUAGCUAGCAGUAAUUCAAACUUAACUAGAAUUUUACUUAAAUUUGUUAGAGAUAAAAUUUAUCCAAAUUAGAGUUAGGUUAUAUUUAAAUCUUUAUAAUUAGAGUAGAAUCUACUUACACUAAGAUUCGGAUGUUGAGAAUCUGGUAACUGCUCUUAUACCAUUUGCUGAGAAUUUAGUACUUGCUCUACCUUCAGUUGUUGAGAAUUUGCAAUCCGCCCUGAUACUAAUUGUUUUAAAUCAGAUACUCACUCUAGUACUGAUUAUUACGAUUCUGCAACAAAAGCGUCCAAUUGAAUUUUUACUGAAAAUACCUCUACUCAAUGAAAGCUAAGACAAUCACAAAAGAAGAAAAUAAUUAUAUCCAACUCUUUUUUUACAUAGAGUCUUCAAAACGAACUCUCUUUCUCAAUCUCUCUCCCCCUCAAUCGUCUUCUAUAAAUCCAGAAAACUUCUCCUUUUCUCUCACAUGCACUCGCGCACUAGGUGGAUGCAAGCAGGAUAAAGUGUCUCUCACCUCGACCGUACAAACACCCACCUUAGCUGAACACCACUCUUGAAGCUUCACCUAAGAGCCUCUUUCUAAACUUCUCUCACUCCUCUGUCGUUUUCUAAAUCUCCAGGGAUAAAUAGCUCUUGCACCCAUCCACCUGUGCAUUAGGUGCACUAAACCAUUGGCUAAGUUUCUCUCUCAUACCUCACAUACAGCUAGGGUGUCAACGAGCCGAACACGAGCGAGCUAAGGCCGGUUUGUGUUCGGCUCAUUUUAUAAUCAAGCCGAACACGAGCUGGUUCGUUAAAGUAUCGAGUCAAAAAGUACAACUCGUGGUUGGCUCGUUUAUUAACAAGCCGAACACGAGCUUCCUCAUAAACAACAAGUUAAAAGAAUUAUGAAAGAUACGUAUAGAAAAUAAAUUUAUAAAAUCUUAUCCAUUUAACUUUGAUCUAAUAUUUAAAACUUUACAUAUAAAUGACCUUGUUAUAAGAAGUUGGGCUUUAUAUUUAGGUUAAGCUAAUAACCAAUUAUUCAUUUAUAUAUAUAAAUAUAAAACAUAUGUAUUCGAGUUGUUAUCGAGUCGAACAUGAGCGAGCUAACCCUAGCUGGUACUGUUCGGCUCGUUUAUUAAACGAGCUGAAAAAUUCAGCCCGUAUUCGGCUCAUUUAUUAAACGAGCGAUUCGAUCUCGAGCUCAUUUCGAGCCGGUCACGAGCUGGCUUGCGAAUAGCAAGCUGGAUUGCCACCCUUAUAUACAGCUCACUAAAGCCUCACUGCUUAGUUGUAUUCUAGACCAUGAAGCUUCAAUAUGGGAGCACUUGACAAGUUAAGGCCUAUUGGUGCUUACAAAAUGCACCUACAAUAGAUACUCCGACUCCUAAUUUAAUUAGAUUUUUUUCUCUAAUUAAUAUUUAAAUUUUACUUUAUUUAUUUUAGCAGAUUUAAAUAUUUAUCCUAACCUAAUCAGAAUCUAACUAUAAAUCUAACAAAAUCCUAACAAUUUCCACCUAGAUUUGGUUUGUAUUCUUCAAUUGUUGCAUUGAGCUUACCACGCAAGCUCCACCUUGAGCUUAUCUCCUCUACACGAUGUCAUCGCCUCCACCUCGAGUAGCCGCACAUAUAUCUGCAAACUUUUGGAACCCAAACCGUCCACACACCUGUUCUGACUGUACUCCCAUUCAGAACAUACAAGUUUUCUUUCUUAUUUACUUCGUAUAUUUCCCAUCUUCAUUUUCACGCCCUUAUAGUUACACCUGAAGCUAAAAAUUCACAAUCCUUCGAGUCCAAUGUGUCUAACAAGAUGAAAUUUUGUUUCAACCCAAGAAUGUGUGGCACACCUAUUAGCACCCUUACGAUCCCAUUGUGUAUCUGGACCUUUUCUAUACCAAUUCCAAAACCUACAUGCCAUUUUGUUCCCCAUGAGAUCUUUUCAACCUUUGAUCACCUUAUAGGUGGCAAAAGCUCUUUAUCCGGCCAAACAUGAAAAGAACACCUUGAAUUGAGCAUCUACAUAUCAGUCGAAGCUAUCGCACUACUGGAUGUUGCAUACAACACAUCAAAUUUGAUUAGCUCCAAUUCUAUCGCAUGCAUUGCAGAUGUUUCCUCUUCCUAAUCCAUUGCAGUUUUCUCCUUCUAUCACCGCACCUCCUUCAAAUCAUAUUGAAGUAUUUGAUAUUUGUGCUUUAUGUGUCCUUUCUUUUGACAGUAGAAGCAUUCCACCUUGGAAAGUGACUUCUUUUGUCUAUCUGUGAUCGUCAAUACUUUGGCCUUUUUCUUCGCUCUUACUACCAAAGCUAUAUUCAAGCCCUUUGGAUGGAGUAAAGAGCUAUAGUUGUACGGAAACAUGCAACAACAUUGGACAGGGGCAUGAUAGGAAGCGCCCAGCACUCGAUGACGAGGGACAGACCAGUAGAAAACGACCGUCGAGAUCUCCACGAUCUCGCUCUUAUGGUCGUGGGUCUUUGAAAAGACAACGGUAUAGUGGAUUCUGGUAGCAACAACAGCAGCAGAGGUGGCAGAAUAGAUGUGUCAUUUGCAGAGGACCGCAUUGGCGGCGUCAAUGUAAUCAAAAGGAAGGCCAGUAUUAUAAAUAGGGACAGCUGGGAAAUAUGCAAUCAGCUUGUUCUUGGGCAGCAUCACCAACACCAUCGACAGCAACGACCCCUACCACACCCGAGCAAAUGUCGGGAGCUCCAUCAACUCACAGCCAAGCAAAUCGAGCUUCGGUUCCACACCAAGCAGAGUGGCGGCAACAGGCGCAGAGUGGCUACGUAUAUGUAGCCCAGGUCGAGGACUCCACUGCAGCUGACCGUGUGGUGACAGAGCACGUGCAAUAUUUGAUAUCAGUGCAUCACAUUCAUUUAUUAGCCGAGCAUUUUCAUCCCUACAUGGACUAGAUAUAAGUUCAUUACCACAUGCACAAGAGGUGCAGAUUGCUGAUCAUGUAUUGCAUAUGAGGAGUGUUGCUGGUCAUGUCCAGUGUAGUUGGGAUCAUGGAUCAUGCUUGUGGAUAUAUUGGUCUUGAGAUAGCUACAGGAUUUUGAUAUAGUGUUCGGGAUGAACUAGCUGGUGCACUACUUCACUACAAUUAACUGUGGAGAGAGUGUGGUGAUAUUCUGCGAGUCAGGAUAAGAGGAGUUUGUUUAUAGGGGCUGCAAAGGCACAUUAUUUGCGACAAUGAUUUCUACAUUGAGGGCCAGACAUACGGUGAGUAGAAAAUGCAUAGCCUAUUUAGCAACUGUAGUUGUGCCUAUAGCAGCACAGAGACUCGAGAAUAUUUCUAUAGUCCAUGAGUUUCUAGUGGUGUUUCUCCCAAAGUUGAUAACAAUGCUGCCAGAGAGGGAGGUUGAGUUUCUAAUUGACAUGGUCCCUAAAAUCACGCCAAUCUCAAAGGCACCCUAUAGAAUGGUAUCGGCUGAACUAAAAGAGUUAAAGAAGCAACUCCGGGAUCUAUUGAAGAAGGGAUUUGUGAGGCAAGUGUAUCGCUUUGGGGAGCACCAGUGUUAUUAGUGAAGAAGAAGGAUGGUUCACUAAGACUUUGUGUUGAUUAUGGGAAAUUGAACAAAGUGACCAUCAAGAACAAGUAUCCUUUGUCGCGUAUUGCUAACCAAUUCAAUCAGCUAUAAGGGUCUUGUGUCUUUUUGAAGAUUGAUCUGUAGUUAGGUUACCACCAAUUAAAGGUGAAGAUCGAGGAUAUUCCCAAGAUGGCGUUUAGGACUCAGUACAGGCAUUAUGAGUUCACAGUUAUGCCUUUUUGGAUUGACUAAUGCUUCUGCUACAUUUAUAGAAUUGAUGAACACUUCGCCUUUUUGGAUUGACUAAUGCUUCUGCUACAUUUAUAGAUUUGAUGAACAAAGUGUUCAAGCCCUAUAUAGAUAAAUUUGUGGUGGUGUUCAUUGAUGAUAUUUUGAUUUACUCCUAGAAUAAUGUAGAGUAUGAGGAGCACUUGAUGAUACUGCUAUAGCUUCUGAGAGAGAGAAGAAGUUGUAUGUCAAGUUAAAGAAGUGCUAGUUUUGGCUUCGAGAGGUUGCUUUCUUCGGCCAUGUGAUUUCAGCCGCAAGAAUGGUAGUAGACCAAAAAAAGGUUGAUGCGAUUCAGGAUUGGCCCAGACCAAUGAAAAUCACUAAGGUGAGGAGUUUUCUUUGAUUAGCUAAAUAUUUCUAUCAGUUUGUGGAAAGCUUUGCGAAGCUAUCCACCCCCACACUCGAUUGACUCGAAAGAAAAUUAAAUUCAUAUAGAAUGAGGAUUGCCAGAGUAUCUUUGAGGAACUAAAAUAUACGCUAAUAUGAGCUCAUAUCCUUUCCCUUCCAGUUAUGGGAAAAGGAUUCGUGAUUUUUAGUUAUACAUCACACAGUGGAUGGGAAAUGCAAAUACUUAAGCUCACGACCUUUGCGGAGGUCUUCGAUCGAGCCCUAUGGGUGGAGCACGGAGAUGCCCACGUUCAGGAGAAGCGUGAGGCUUUGGCCGAGUCUAAGGACAAGGGCAAGAAACACCAAGGCGGCGGUAGUUCGGGGGGACAAGCACGUUACAAGAAACCCCCGAAGUAUCCGCGCGCUCAACAGAGGGGCGGUGGAGCGCGGUGAUGCAUUGUGUGCGGCGGAGACCACCCCAUCUCGCGCUAUGAGCAAGGCCGAGGCAAGUGCUACAAGUGUGGGCAGCCGGGGCACUUCAUUCGAGACUGCCCGGGAUGAGGAGCCUCACCUGCCCCGUCAAUUGCAUCGGCGCCGGCGAUCCCGACUCACUACGGAGGAACCCCACCGACGGCCGCGUCGACUGGACGCGCGAUGAUGCCGCGUCAACCUGAAGUUACGCGAUCGGCCCCGAGCGGACGGGUGUUCGCCGCUCAGGUCCAAGCUGAAGAACCUGCGGAGGCGGAGGAGCAUCGCCUUGUGGCAGGUAUGGUUUUGAUUAACGGAGUUCGCUCCAGGGCCUUAUUUGAUACAGGAGCCACGCAUUCAUUCAUAAGUAGAUCAUUCGCACGCAUGCAUGGCAUUCUCAUAGAGGCGAGUGACAAGUGGCGAGUGGAGGGCCCUGGGUCGACGUUUAACACUUACUCGGAGUGUGCGUCAUGUCCCGUGCAAAUAGGCGACUGGAUUAUGCCUAUCCGGACACUGGAACUCCAGAACCUUGAGGCUUUUGAUAUCAUUCUGGGCAUGGACUGGCUCUCGAAAUAUCACGCGAUGAUCGACUGCAAGAGCAAGGUGAUCACUUUUCGUGAACCAGGACAGGAGGAGUUCACAUAUCGGGCUUGUCAAAGCUCGUGCUUUGUCGCGACGGUGUCAGCGACGAGAGCAAGGAUGUUAGUGAACAACGGUUUCACGGCAUUCUUAGCGACUGUUGUGGAGGUGGAACAAGUAGCUCCAACGUUAGAGGAGCUAUCGGUAGUGCGGGAGUUCCCGGAUGUAUUUCCCACGGAGUUGCCAGGGAUACCACCGGAUCGGGAGAUCGAGUUCGUCAUAGACUUGGUUCCUGGUACCGCACCGAUCUCGAAGGCUCCGUACCGAAUGGCGCCGGCGGAAUUGAAGGAGUUGAGGAGUCAACUGGAAGACCUCCUCGACAGGCAAUUUAUCCGGCUGAGUGUAUCACCGUAGGGAGCCCCGGUGUUGUUUGUAAGGAAGAAGGACGGAUCGUUUCGACUCUGCGUGGACUAUCGAGAAUUGAACAGAGUCACAAUCAAGAACAAGUACCCACUACCCCGGAUCGAUGACUUGUUUGAUCAGUUGCAAGGGUCGUGCGUGUACUCGAAGAUAGAUUUGCAAUCCGGCUAUCACCAACUGAAGAUCAAGCCGGAGGAUGUACAGAAAACUGCAUUUCGUACACGGUAUGGACACUACGAAUUCACGGUUAUGCCAUUUGGACUCACGAAUGCUCCAGCGGCAUUCAUGGAUUUAAUGAACCGUGUCUUCAAGAAGUACUUGGAUCAAUUUGUCGUGGUCUUCAUAGACGACAUAUUGGUCUAUUCUCGUAGUGACGAGGAACAUGCCGAGCAUUUGAGGAUAGUGCUUCAAGUCCUUCGAGAGGAGAAGCUAUAUGCUAAGCUGAAGAAGUGUGACUUCUGGCUUCGCGAGGUCGCCUUCUUAGGGCAUGUGAUUUUCGCGGGUGGAGUUUCUGUAGACCCGAGAAAAGUUGAGGCAAUCAAGGAUUGGCCGCGCCCGACAAAUAUCACAGAGGUUCGAAGCUUCGUGGGCUUGGCGGGCUACUAUAGGCGGUUUGUGGAAGGCUUUUCCAAAAUAGUGAUUCCCCUUACCCGCCUGACUCAGAAAGGCACCAAGUUCGUUUGGAGCGAAGAAUGUGACCGGAGUUUCAAAGAGUUGAAGCAAAGAUUGACUUCGACUCCGGUGCUCGCUCUACCGGUGCAGGGCGAAGACUUCGUGGUCUACAGUGAUGCCUCCUAUCUUGGGUUGGGGUGUGUAUUGAUGCAAAACGGGAAGGUGAUUGCCUAUGCAUCCCGUCAGCUGAAGAGCUAUGAAAAGAACUACCCCAUCCAUGAUUUGGAGCUAGCGGCGGUGAUUUUUGCCUUGAAACUGUGGACGCACUACUUAUAUGGUGCCCAUUGUGAGAUCUAUACCGACCACAAGAGCUUGAAGUACCUGUUCACGCAGAAGGAACUCAAUAUGCGUCAGCGGCGGUGGUUGGAGCUGUUAAAGGAUUAUGAUGUUGAUAUCCUCUACCACCCCGGGAAGGCAAAUGUGGUCGCGGACGCACUUAGUAGGAAGUUGGCGAAGAACCUCGCUUUUGAUGUUACCGAGCAAACACCUCUGUGGCUGGAUAUGGAGCGAUUGGACCUUGAAGUGGUCGCUCCCGAGGUCCCGACUCAGUUGAUGGCACUCGUUGUCCAACCGACCUUAUUGGAGAGGAUCAAAGAUCUGCAACCCGCAGACCCAGAACUCCAAAAGGUGCGGCGAAACAUCGAGGAAGGGCAUGGCGGCGAUUUCAAGGUAGACGCCGAGGUACGCUUCGGUUUCGAAACCGAUGGUGUGUGCCGAAGGAUGGAGAGUUUCGUGAAUUGAUUCUACAAGAAGCACACCGAUCUCCAUAUGCCGAUCACCCGGGCGGCACCAAGAUGUAUCAAGGACUGAAAAUGCAUUAUUGGUGGCCGAGAAUGAAAAGUGAUAGUGGGCGCUUUGUGACGAAGUGCCUAACAUGCCAGCAAGUAAAGGCCGAGCGUCGAUUUCCAGCGGGAAAGCUUCAAAGCCUACCAAUCCCCGUUUGGAAAUAGGAGGAUAUAUCGAUGGACUUAGUGGUCGGCUUGCCUCGCUCAACGGGCGGCCACGAUGCAAUUUGGGUAAUUGUAGACCGAUUGACAAAGUCGGCUCACUUCUUGCCGAUCCGCACCACGUGGUCGGGAGACAAGUUGGCGUAGGUGUAUCUUGAUAAGAUAGUGAGACUGCAUGGGGUGCCGAAAUCGAUCGUGUCGGAUCGUGACCCCCGGUUCACUUCACACUUCUGGAAGAGCCUGCAGGGAGCCCUUGGCACACGGCUCGACUUUAGCACCGCAUUUCAUCCCCAAACUGAUGGGCAAACAGAGAGAACUAUUCAAACUCUGGAGGACAUGUUGCGAGCGUGUGUCAUCGACUAUAAGGGAAGUUGGUGUGACCACCUACCUAUGGCCGAGUUCGCCUACAACAACAGUUAUCACGCUAGUGUGGAGAUGGCACCGUUCGAGGCUCUCUAUGGGCGGACGUGUCGGUCUCCUAUACACUGGAGCGAUGUGGGUGCGCUUGCAGAGUUCGGCCCUGAUGUUUUGCGAGAAACGGAGGAGAAAGUCCACCUUGCUCGCAAGAGAUUGCUCACGCAAGGUAGGAUGUAAGGAAGUGAAUUCUCGAAAUCCGAGGAUCGUACUUCAUCCAGGAUCGACUGACUGUCGAGAGGAUACCCUUUGUGGGAGUUAAGAAUGUCCAAAACACAAAAAGUGCUUUGGAGUUGAGUCCGCGAGAGCAAAUGGUGCAAAUUGCAUUUUUGGGUUGAUGUUGCUCUCGGGGACCGGUCUCUGGAGGUGAGAGACCGGUUCCCUCGGCUGGGUAUAGCGGGGUUGCUUGGUGCAACCGGUCCCUAGCAGGGAGGGACCGGUUCCCGAACGUGGUCCCAGCGAGAAAUGCCGAAAUUUGGCUAAAUCCUGAAAAAUCGAGCUCUCGGGGACCGGUCUCUCAGGCGAGGACCGGUCUCCCGGGGAGAGACCGGUUCCCGAACGCGUGCGCCCGAGGGAGGCUCUCGGGGACCGGUCCCAAGUCGGGGAGACCGGUCCCUCCGCGCGAAAGCUGCCCAGUGAGGGCUGUGCAAUGGAUGAAAAGUUGAGGGGUCUAGAUGCAAAAUGGCCUUUAUUAGAGUGGGCUGAGCCUUCUCUCUCCCUCAUACUCAUCUCAUUUCCCUCUCUCACACUCUCUUUUCUCUCUUGCCUCGNNNNNNNNNNNNNNNNNNNNNNNNNNNNNNNNNNNNNNNNNNNNNNNNNNNNNNNNNNNNNNNNNNNNNNNNNNNNNNNNNNNNNNNNNNNNNNNNNNNNCACCCUCUCGAGCUAAUAUUUUCCUGGAUCUCCUCCAGCUCAAAUACUUCUUCGUAAAUCCACUGGAGUACUCUUCCAAAAUGUGCAGUUGGAUCAAAAACAUAUUUUCGCAAGUGUAGAGACAUGAUAACAUGAAAUCACAUUAUGCCUCCCGACAGGUUCGGCGCAAGCAAGCCGAUAUUACGCUAACGGGGCCUAUCCGUGUCCAGACGUCGUAGGUCAAUGAUAUCGAGGACUUAACUUCCCUCGAAUACCAAAUCUCUUAACUCCCUUUGUCGGUGAUACCUUUAGAAAUACGUGAUCGCCAACUUGAAAUUCCAGUUCUCGCCGACAUUUAUCCGCAUAGCUCUUUUGUCGACUUUGUGCUGUCAGUAGACGUUCUCGUGCCAGUCGAACUUUAGCUUCAGCUUCUUGCAGUACAUCUGGACCCAAAACUAGUCUCUCACCCACUUCACUCCAAUGAAGUGGUGAUCUGCACUUUCUACCAUAAAGGGCUUCAAACGGUGCCAUCUGAAUACUUGCUUGAUAACUAUUGUUAUAAGCAAAUUCAGCCAUAGGCAAGAACUGUGGCCAACUGCCCUGGUAAUCAAUCACGCAGGCCCGCAACAUAUCCUCAAGGGUCUGGAUGGUACGUUCAGACUGCCCAUCACUCUGGGGCUGGAAAGCAGUACUAAAAUCCAGUCGGGUACCCAUAGCCUCCUGUAAGCUCCUCCAAAAAUGUGAAACAAAGCGGGUAUCUCGAUCUGAAACAAUAGAGGCUGGUACUCCAUGUAAUCGCACAAUUUCAUCAAGGUAUACUUGUGCGAGUUUCUCUCCUGACCAAGUUGUGUGGAUUGGAAUAAAGAGGGCAGAUUUGGUCAAUCUGUCUACAAUUACCCAAAUGGCAUCGUGACCUGCCUGUGAGCGAGGUAAUCCAAUGAUGAAAUCCAUAGUAAUCUUCUCCCACUUCCACACUGGUAUGGAUAAGCUCUGAAGUUUCCCCGCAGGAAGUCGAUGUUCAGCCUUAACCUGCUGACAGGUUAAGCAUUUAGCCACGAAAUUAGCAACAUCCUUUUUUAUUCCAGGCCACCAGUAAGUUAACUUCAUAUCUUUAUACAUUUUCGUACUCCCAGGGUGUACAGUAUACGGCGCCCGAUGUGCUUCUGUUAGAAUCUCUUCUUUAAUACCAGAAUCGGCCGGUAUACAGAGCCUAUCACCGAAUUUCAAUAAUCCCCGAUCAUCUACGCGAAACUCACUAUCAUGAUCAACAGUGAUCUUAUCUCGAAUCUUCUGCAGGAAUUCAUCUUGAGUUUGCUUUUCUUUAAUUCGAUCGAUCAGGGUAGGCUGCACCACUAAUGACAUAAGUCUCCAAGGCGUAUCAGGAGCUACAACUUCGAAACUUAAUUGCUCCAUUUCUUUUACCAACAGAGGUUGCAUUGUUAUCGACAUCGCCAAAUUUUCCGUCGAUUUUCGACUUAAAGCAUCUGCUGCGACAUUAGCCUUUCCCGGAUGAUAGAGGAUGGUCAAAUCAUAAUCCUUGAGUAACUCCAACCAUCUACGUUGCCUCAAGUUUAAUUCCUUCUGUGUAAACAGAUACUUUAAGCUUUUAUGAUCUGUAUAAACUUCGCAACGCUCGCCGUAGAGGUAGUGGCGCCAAAGCUUUAAAGCAAAUACCACAGCUGCUAACUCAAGAUCAUGUGUAGGGUAGUUCUUUUCAUAAUCCUUUAAUUGGCGAGAAGCAUAGGCAAUUACUCUGCCAUUUUGCAUUAGAACACACCCUAAUCCAUUCAGUGAUGCAUCGCUGUAAAUCACAUAAUCCACUCCAGUAACGGGCAGUGCUAAAAUCGGGGCGGUAGUCAACCGUUCCUUCAGCUCCUGAAAGCUUCUUUCACAGGCUUCAUUCCACAGGAAUUUAGCUCCUUUAUGUGUGAGUCGAGUGAGAGGAGUGGACAUCUUCGCAAAUCCUUCUACAAAUCUUCGGUAGUAUCCUGCCAACCCAAGGAAACUCCGAAUUUCAGUGACACUGGUCGGCCUAGGCCAAUCUUUAAUCGCUUCAAUCUUCUUGGGAUCCACAGCUAUCCCAGUUUCAGAAAUCACAUGGCCCAGAAAUGCCACUUCUUGAAGCCAAAAUUCGCAUUUCUUUAACUUGGCAAAUAGUUCCUUUUCUCGAAGUACUUGUAACACUACUCUCAAAUGGUCUUCAUGCUCCUUGUCACUUCGAGAAUAUAUCAAGAUGUCAUCAAUAAACACUACCACAAAUCUGUCCAAAUAGGGCUUAAAGACACGGUUCAUUAAAUCCAUAAAGGCUGCUGGGGCAUUAGUCAAUCCAAACGGCAUGACUGUAAAUUCAUAAUGCCCAUACCGUGUUCUAAAAGCAGUCUUAGAAACAUCUUCAGGCUUAAUCUUGAGCUGAUGAUAGCCUGAUUGCAAAUCGAUUUUGGAGUAUACUUUCGAUCCUUGCAGCUGAUCGAAUAAGUCAUCAAUUCUGGGCAAUGGAUAUUUAUUCUUGAUUGUGACUUUGUUGAUUUCUCGAUAAUCCACGCACAAUCGAAGAGAUCCAUCUUUCUUCUUGACAAAUAACACCGGUGCUCCCCAAGGCGAUACACUCGGUCGAAUAAAUCCUUUGUCUAAAAGAUCUUGUAAUUGUGCCUUCAGCUCUUUUAACUCAGCGGGUGCCAUUCUAUAGGGUGCUUUAGAAAUAGGAGUUGUCCCAGGGACAAGAUCAAUCACAAACUCCACUUCCCUAUCAGGUGGCAUGCCCGGCAACUCAGCUGGAAACACAUCCCCGAAUUCUCGCACAACUGGAAUAUCAUCAAUCUUGACGGUUUUUCCGUCACUCAUAGAAAUGCUAGCCAAGUAGGCUACACAACCCCUCCGAAUCAACUGUCGUGCUCGCGAAGAGCUAAUGGUCAUUGCGAACAAUGAACUCUGGCACCCUUUAUAAACAAACUCCUGCUGACCCGGUUCCCGAAAGGUCACCGUUCUGUUCGUGCAAUCUAUGGUGGCAUAAUACUGUGUCAACCAAUCCAUACCCAAUACUACAUCAAACUCACCUAGUUUGUGUAGUGCCAGUAAAUCCACUGGCAUGAUCCAGUCGCCUACCCUAACUGGGCAGCGAGGGCAAAACUCACGAACAUCAAGGGUAUGGUCAGGUACAAUCACUCGUCCCAGAUGCAAAGUAGGUGCUAAAGAAAUGCUAUACAACUCGGCGAACUGCCGAUCAAUAAAAGAAUGCGAUGCACCAGUAUCAAAUAAUGCACGAACACGAAUAUCAUAAAGCAUAAUGAUACCUGCUACGACCUCCUGUGCUGCAGCGGCGCCCUCGGUCUGGGCGGCAUACAUCCGCCCACUCGAACCCUGCUGUGAACUCUCUGACUGCCGCUGUCCUGGUGGUCGCCUAGACUGAUAGGGUGCUGUCGGGGUCCCCUGGCUCGGAGCUGAAGAUGCAGGUGCAGUCGCCGACGAGGGUGCAGGCAAAGAACCUCUCGGGCACUCUGAGCGAAAGUGGCCCUCCUGGCUGCAAAGAAAGCACCUGCCCCCACGCUGUGGACACUGUGGCGGUACAUGAGGCCCACCACAGAUAACACAACGCGGUGGUCGACGACGCUCGGGUGCUCCACAGGGUGCUGAAGAAUCUCGACCCCUCGACUGACCUGACUGUCCCCUCGGAUACUUUGGUGGCUUUCUAAAGGAUUGCUGACCACUGCUCUCAACUGCUGGUCUUUUUCCUUUGCUUCUAUCCACAACGUCUCUUUCUUUCAUUAUCUCUGCCCCCUUCUCAACAAUCAAGGCCCGGUUCACUACAUCCCGGUAAGUGGAGAGGUUUGAUGCCUGGACCAAUCUGAAAAUUGCAGGUCGCAAACCCACCUCAAAGAUACGAGCCUUGUCCUCAUCAUCUCGAACGAAAAAAGGAACGCAGUGCAGUAAUCGGGAGAACUCUCGCUCGUACUCAGCCACUGUCCUGUCCCCCUGUCUCAAGUUUCUCAAAUCCCUUUCCAUCUGCCUCUUUACACUCUGAGGAAAGUAAGUAGUCAACAACAAUUCCUUAAAUCUGCUCCACGUGAUAGCGGACAAAUCAGCACGAGGAUCCUCACGGAUAUCCACCCACCACCUAUACGCCUCACCAUCAAGGUGGUGUGUCGCAAACCAAACUCGGUACCGCUCCUCAACAAAUGUAUCAUAGAAUAGCUUCUCCAUAUGCAUUAACCAUUUCUCGACCACCCAGUGAUCUGCUUUUUCCCCGUCAAAAACACGAGGGUUGCAGCGACGGAAUUCAUUCAGUCGUUCCAUCAUCCGCUCUCGCUCCUCAACCCCCACCAUCUCGGGUAACACUGUACCAGAUGCUGCUACAGGUACUAGUGGUGGUACUACUGUCUCCGGUCGGGUCUCUGCCCUCGGAGCUACUGGGGGUGUGUCAAGUACAGGUGACUGUGCUCUCACUGUCGCAUCCCUGUCCGGUACUGUAGGUAUAGGAUCCGGAAUCUCUCUGUCAGUCGUCUGCCGCAGUAACAGAUCCUCUAACCUCUUCAUCCUGUCCUCCUGACGACGCACAGCAUCCAUCUGCUGUCGUGCUGCUGCAGCCUGCUGAGUAACCAAAUCCGUCAACAUCGCAAGCUGAUCCUGUAACUCAUGGAUCCCACUAGAUCCCGAAGUAACAGAAGUCCCCACUUCCUCUGCAUUUGUCGCCUCAGCUGCCCCGGCGGCUUGCGAACGAGUCAACGGCAUCUUAAGCUGCAGCACAAAAACAAACAUAGGUCAAUAAACCCUAUACUAUUGAACCCUCAUUGAGGAUAUAACCAGCUAAUGAAGCGAAAGUAAUGAAAUGUAACGCGUACUAACUUCCGAUGUCACGUUGUCGGCCGCCAACGUGACCCUCUGCAAAGUUAGUAAUUGCACAUUCCNUGUGGUUCUUGCUCUUAAAUGUAUUGCACUUGUGUGCGCUAUGUUCGAUCAUGUAUGUUAUCUAAGCAUUUCUGGGCGCUUAUUUGUACAUGAUCUGGUUGUUUAGCCUUGGGCGGACAGGAGAGGUGCUGUCCGUUCGGCGUCUGUUCGACGCGCCCGAACCGGACCAAAUUGGUAGCGGCAUCGGGGCGUGACAUACUCCUUUAGCGUUUAGCUUUUACAUUCAUUAGCAUACUUUACAUACAUUUACUUAGCAUCUAGCUCAUGUCAUUAUAUGCAUUUAUUAGCAUCAUUGCCGUACAUUCUUAAUUAGCAUUCUUAUUAUGCAUUCUUACUUAACAUUCUUGUCAUGCAUCAAUAGUGAAACACACUACACUUUGGCAUGAAGGCGACCUAGUCGCUUCGGUAAACACAACCCACCUCUUAAUGCGUUCCAAUUGCUUGUCGUCACUUGCAAUCGGCCUCCCGCGGCACCCGUGACCCGGUUCGGCUCGAACUCUCGCGCGACCACCCGAACGACCACCAAUUCGCGAUCCGUCUGUUCGGGAGUUUAUUCCCCGACACCACGAUGCUCCCGAUCCAUUUUCAUGAUUUUUGGAGGCUUAUCCCGCGUGCUGCGGCUAUCUGUACCAAAACAGAUUGUUUCGUCAAUAACUUCGCGUACGCUCGUCGGAUUGUCGAACCGAGCGCACCAACGCGUUCGUUAUACCCCCAAUUAGGUUUGUAUAGGGUCAAUUGAGAUCAAACUCAACUAUUUACAAAAACCCCUUUUGGAGCCCUAAUAUGCAACUAUUGCAAAAUGCCCCAUUUCAUCUUAUGAAUCAAGCAUAAACCAUCUAUUUAGCAUGCUAAGAUUCCAUCUAAACCAUCUUUAUAGUAUAAGAACUUAACCCUAAAGAUCUACCAUUAAAGCUCCAAGAAGCUUACCUCAAGAAGCUUGCUCCAUUGCAAGGAGGAAGAAGAUGAGGAUGACUCUCUCCUCCUUGUCUUCUUCUCCUUCUUUUUCUUCUCUUCUCCUUUUUCUUCUCUUCACCUUCCUCUUUUACUUUCUAGAGAGAGAGAGGAGAGAUUUUGGUGCAAUAUGGUGAGGGAAAGGGAGAGAGAGAGAGGUUCUAAUCCUCUCUUUACUCAUAACCCAUGCACAAAAUGCCAAUAAGUCCCUCAACAAUGCCUCUCUCGCAACAGCCCGAACUGGGCAUUUUCGGGGUCUAGGACCGGUCCCAAGCAGUGAGAGACCGGUCCCCGAAAGGCCAGAAUUCCAGACUUAGCCAAUUUUUUAGCAUUUUCAACCUCUAUCCUUUUUCACUCCGUUUUCGCUCGUUUUCGCUCGUUUGACCUCCGUUUCUUUUCAAAUCGAACCGAGACUCUCCAAACAUGUUUUCGAACAUGUUUUCAUCAUCUUUUCAUCCACGCUAAUGCCGGAUUUAG